GCGGGCCUGGCGGACUCUGGGCCCGCGCCCCUGCGCCGUGCGGGCCGCCGGGCCGCGCACUGGGGGGCCCGGCCGCGGUCCCCCAAGGAGACAGGGCGGGGAUCGGAGGCGAUGAUGCCAAAGCGCCCAGCCGGCCCGGGCCUCUCACCUGCUGGCAGGCCUCCGGGGUGCUGGGCGAGACUCGGGACGUCCGGAGCCCCGAGCCGCGGACCUGAGGUCGGCCCGGGCCGCCGAACGCCAAGGUCUCCCUAGGCCGGGGUCUCCCAUAUGAGCGCGGGGGGCCCGGUAGGAGUUCCCGGUGCUCCUGGCGGUAACACUUCCGUCCAUUCAUUCACGUAUUCCCUGUUCAGCCCACAGACGUUGUCGGAGCGCCCACUCUGGGCCACGCCUAUUGCCAGACAGCGGAGAAGACUCCAAUGCACACGUAAGGCGCUUGGCACUGGGGCCUGGCAAAUGGGAAGCGCCCAGUAAGUGUCGCCUCUCACACACACGCACGCACCUAUGCAGACAAAUCAACUUGCGGGUCACUGAUUGCAGAAACAGGGAGCCCCCUACCCGGCCACCCACUUAACCAUCUGGUUGGGCCCCCUUUCUAGGAUUUCUGCGAAGAUCCUAUUAGAUGAGUGUGGACAAAUUCGCCAACUCUCAAAAACAAGCAAACCAAAAAGAGCAGCUAUUGUGAUUAUUGCUCACAGCCCUUGUCAUUGGGCUCACUUACUCCACAAAGGUACUCGCAGAGGUUACUCUUGCCAGCCCCCAUGCUCCGCAGCAGACGCCAACAGUAAGAUCCAGAGCGACAUUCUAAGUCAGAGGGCCUCACCUUUUCAAAAAUGGGAUGCCAUGAAAAAUAUGAGAGGGAGGAAAUUGUUCUAAAAUAAAAGAGCUAAAAAUAUAA